UCCUCGUUUAAGCGAGGCAGUUUGUCCAGAGUGCUCCGAACUCUCGUUCGGGUGGCAACAGGACACAAGGGUUGCGCUCGUUGCGGGACUUAACCCAACAUCUCACGACACGAGCUGACGACAGCCAUGCAGCACCUGUGUAGGCUCCCCUUGCGAGGUCGUCGGACUUUCAUCUUUCUACCACCUACAUGUCAAGGCCAGGUAAGGUUCUUCGCGUUGCAUCGAAUUAAGCCACAUACUCCACCGCUUGUGCGGGCCCCGUCAAUUUCUUUGAGUUUUAAUCUUGCGACCGUACUCCCCAGGCGGCACGUUUAACGCGUUAGCUCCGGCGCAGAAGGGGUCGAAUCCUCCCACACCAAACGUGCACCGUUUACUGCCAGGACUAC
rnacentral:misc_RNA from 1 species